GGAUAAAUUCGAUUAAUCCGAAUAACCCAUCUUCGCCGAAGAAAAAACGGGACAGCAUAUUCCAUGUCAAGAAUGCCAGAUGCCUGCAAUUAUCCGAUGCAAGAGGAUCCGAAUCCACAAAUACAAGGAUGGAAAGCGAAUACAGAGCAAGUUCCAUCCAUGGUUUACCAAUGCACUAUAGCCAUUUCACCUACACACCUAUGUUUACUUGAAUGAUUGCUCCAACCCAGUGGUCACUAAGGGGUUGUCUGAAUUAUCAACACCCGUGUUAUAACGACUGUCAUUUGCCGGUCACGAAAGGAUAAAGUACAUCAUGAUGAAUUAUAAUAGUUGCAAGCUGAGUCUAAGUGUUAGCACCUCUUUUGCAAGUUGAACAGCGGAAAAUGCAAUGAUAAGAGCGAUUGUGAU